rnacentral:rRNA from 1 species
UACGUAGGGUGCAAGCGUUGUCCGGAAUUAUUGGGCGUAAAGAGCUUGUAGGCGGUUUGUCGCGUCUGCUGUGAAAUUUCGGGGCUCAACCCCGAACUUGCAGUGGGUACGGGCAGACUAGAGUGUGGUAGGGGAGACUGGAAUUCCUGGUGUAGCGGUGAAAUGCGCAGAUAUCAGGAGGAACACCAGCGGCGAAGGCGGCGUCCUGGACUGGUACUGACGCUCAGGAGCGAAAGCGUGGGGAGCGAUCCGG